GGAUGUGAGGGCGAUCUGGCUGCGACAUCUGUCACCCCAUUGAUCGCCAGGGUUGAUUCGGCUGAUCUGGCUGGCUAGGCGGGUGUCGCCUUCCUCCCUCACCGCUCCAUGUGCGUCCCUCCCGAAGCUGCGCGCUCGGUGGAAGAGGACGACCAUCCCAGAUAGAAGGAGUGUACCGUUCUUCGGUCAAGGGUAUAGUUAACCAGUUAGUGGAUCAGCAUAGGUAAAAUGGCAGGCCAUUUCCAGCUUAAUAGAACACAAGUUGUGCAGGCCUGAUCUAAAUGUUGUCAUAUUCUGUGGAAUGCUUGAAUCCAU
rnacentral:snRNA from 1 species